AAUUAUAUUUGAUUUUGAUUUCACAAAUUAACAGUCAAGUUAAAUAAACAGUUUAAUUCUUAACCAAUUUGUGUUUGUAUCAAUUAAUUUUUCAACUACUAUCUAUUCAACGUAAACGUACAAUUUAAGAUGUGUACAGUAAUCAACCUACUAUAAUACCUACAAUAACAUGGAAAAACUGAAAGAUAAAAUAAUUAUAAUCAAUUUUGAAUUCACUAACUAUCGACGUACACUAAGGAACUGAUUUAAUACUUAUUAUUACAGAAA